rnacentral:rRNA from 1 species
UAGGGAAUCUUCGGCAAUGGACGAAAGUCUGACCGAGCAACGCCGCGUGAGUGAUGAAGGGUUUCGGCUCGUAAAACACUGUUGUAAGAGAAGAAUGACAUUGAGAGUAACUGUUCAAUGUGUGACGGUAUCUUGCCAGAAAGGAACGGCUAAAUACGCGCCAG